rnacentral:tRNA from 1 species
GGGAAUGUGGCUUAGUGAUAGAGUGCUUGCCUAGCAUGCAUGAGACCCUGGGUUCGAUUCCUCAGUACCA